GACGAACGCUGGCGGCGUGCUUAACACAUGCAAGUCGAACGGAAAGGCCCUGCUUUUGUGGGGUGCUCGAGUGGCGAACGGGUGAGUAACACGUGAGUAACCUGCCCUUGACUUUGGGAUAACUUCAGGAAACUGGGGCUAAUACCGGAUCGGAGCUCCUGCUGCAUGGUGGGGGUUGGAAAGUUUCGGCGGUUGGGGAUGGACUCGCGGCUUAUCAGCUUGUUGGUGGGGUAGUGGCUUACCAAGGCUUUGACGGGUAGCCGGCCUGAGAGGGUGACCGGCCACAUUGGGACUGAGAUACGGCCCAGACUCCUACGGGGGGCAGCAGUGGGGAAUAUUGCACAAUGGGCGGAAGCCUGAUGCAGCAACGCCGCGGGCGGGAUGACGGCCUUCGGGUUGUAAACCGCUUUCGCCUGUGACGAAGCGUGAGUGACGGUAAUGGGUAAAGAAGCACCGGCUAACUACGUG
rnacentral:rRNA from 1 species